CCGACAACCAGCUUUCUACACGGC
rnacentral:piRNA from 1 species